rnacentral:piRNA from 1 species
UACACAGCUGUGCCUCAGGCUUGUGUGUGCGU